AGUGAACGCUGGCGGCAGGCCUAAUACAUGCAAGUCGAACGGCAGCACAGUGGAGCUUGCUCCAUGGGUGGCGAGUGGCGGACGGGUGAGGAAUACAUGGGAAUCUGCCCAGUCGUGGGGGAUAACGUAGGGAAACUUACGCUAAUACCGCAUGCGCCCUUCGGGGAAAGCCGGGGACCGUAAGGCCUGGCGCGAUUGGAUGAGCCCAUGUCGGAUUAGCUAGUUGGCGGGGUAACGGCCCACCAAGGCGACGAUCCGUAGCUGGUCUGAGAGGAUGAUCAGCCACACUGGAACUGAGACACGGUCCAGACUCCUACGGGAGGCAGCAGUAGGGAAUAUUGGACAAUGGGGGCGAACCCUCGAUCCAGCCAUGCCGCGUGAGUGAAGAAGGCCCUCGGUUGUAAAGCUCUUUUGUCCGGAAAGAAAGCAAUCGGUUAAUACCCGGUUGUCCUGACGGUACCGGAAGAAUAAGCACCGGCUAACUUCGUGCCAGCAGCCGCGGU
rnacentral:rRNA from 1 species